rnacentral:piRNA from 1 species
UUGCAGCCGAUCCAGCCUCCCUUUGCUGCAGU